rnacentral:tmRNA from 1 species
AUAAUUGCAAACGAUAAUAACUACGCUUUAGCAGCUUAGUCUGCUAACUGAUCAUAAUGCUGUGUUCGUUCGGUAUUAUCAUCAGUCAACUUAAACGAAAUAGUGGAAUAUCAUUUCUAGGGGAUAUUCUGCGAAACUUAACUUAGAACAGCUUUGCAUCUCCUGCCGGUCGGACGAUGCGAAGUUAAAUUAAAGAUUCGGCUAAACAUGUAGUACCAAGAAUGGAUAGUUUUCGGACGCGGGUUCAAAUCCCGCCGCCUCCACCA